rnacentral:misc_RNA from 1 species
AAACACUGAAACACCAAGAACUGACAGUCUGAGACACGGAUUAUAAUGGCAGCCUCAUUACGACAGUUUCAUGUGCACUGCCAUGGGUAUCAACUCCAAGCGUACAAACUUCUCGCUGCCCGUCAGCUUCACUGUCUUUAUUCUCCUGUUCAAGACCAAGAAGCAAUUUCUCAAUGAAUGUGAUCAGCAACUCUACAGCUCGCUCAGGACUCCUUUACUGCUUCGGCAACUCUACAGCUCGCUCUGGACUCCUUCACUGCUCCUUUCUCUCUUCGUCUCUCUCAAUCCCUUCUUCCUACUCAGGUAGCUAAACCCAACUCGAAUUAUGCUUCGAUUGUUGUUAUUUUUGUGAUCUUCUGUUGUGGGCAUCGUCGGUUGAUAUUUGUGUUUGAAUUACUUCUAUUCUAUGGCUUAAGGUGUGCAGAUUUGAGUGGCGCUCUCCCUUUUCUUAUAUUUUUGCUUUUAAGAGCUAAAAUAAACUUAUCAAAAUUUUUUAUUCGGCAACUUAAAAUGAUGACUGGAAAUGUUACUUGAACGUGUACUAUCUGUUUUACAUGUUAUAGCAUUUCUCAUUGUAUGGGAGAACAAAUAUGUUGAAUUAUAUAACACCAAGAUUUCAAUUUCAGUCAUUUAUACUGCUAAGAUACGAUUUCACUUGUUUCCAGAGUCCAAGUUUCUUCUGUUUCAGAAGAAGUUUGUCAAACCUGUUGUGCAUUUUAUGAACUGUAGUAGCAGCUUGAGUGUACUGUUGCCCUUUCAGAGUAAGCUCUGACAGAAGCAUUGAAGUGAAAUAAUUGAGUUAAAAUUUCAUUGCUUACACUUAAUGUAACCCAUUGUCUUUCAGGUUUAUCUUUGGGAUUGGAUUUGAAUUCUAACAGUGUGGUAAGAGAGGAGAGAGGCUAUGGCCUAGUGGUCAGAGCUGGAAAGGAUACUCUUUGUCAAACCAAGAGGAGCAGGUCUCGGAAGUCUCUGGCUCGGACUCAUGGCUUCCGUUGACGGAUGAGAACCACCAGCGGAAGUGCUGUGUUGAAACGUUGACGUGCCAAGGGACGAUAGGUUCUUUGCACCAAGUCCAACCCUAAUUCAGGAAAACUUCAUCUUUAAGUUAGUCCAGUAGUUUCAUUUGAUGAAGUUUAAUGGUGCCUCCUGAUUGUUUUCAUUCAAAUUUCGACAAUACACAAUUAAAGAUGACGUUUAAGGCUCAUUGAUUCAGAGGUUGCAUAUUAGUUUUUGUUUAUGUGUAGAUGCCUUCCUCCUAUGUCCUGUCUCAUCAAUAACAUGUAUCUUCAAAAAUGUUUGAGAGAUUUAAGGGCCUUCCAUGAAAAUGAUUUGGACAAUUUAAGAGCAAAAGGACUUUGCAAGGAAAGAAAUAACAUUUGAAGGUAGAUGACUGAAAUUUUAUUUGCUAAAAUGUUGUUUUGUUCUCUUUUGUCUGUCCCCUGCUUCAUUCAUGACCAUGGGCCCUUAACAUGUCUUUGAUUGACCUCAAAUUUAACUCAAACAGACUUGUUCU